GGGUUAGAAGAAUCUGUCACCCCAUUUAUUGUCAGGGUUGAGUCAGAAUUGGCUGGCUGGGCAUGCGUCCUCAUUCUUCAUCACUGUUCCACGUACAUGCCUCCUGAAGUUGCAUGCUCAGUCAGUGAGGAGAGACCGUUCAAGUUAGCCACGCGUGUGCCUACUAGAACUAGUCUUCUUGAACAAGCUUCAGUGGCCCCAGCAGCAGUAGUCUCCUGCAGCUUGAA
rnacentral:sRNA from 1 species